ACACUCCUACGGGAGGCAGCAGUGGGGAAUAUUGCACAAUGGGCGCAAGCCUGAUGCAGCCAUGCCGCGUGUAUGAAGAAGGCCUUCGGGUUGUAAAGUACUUUCAGCGGGGAGGAAGGCAAUACGGUUAAUAACCGUGUUGAUUGACGUUACCCGCAGAAGAAGCACCGGCUAACUCCGUGCCAGCAGCCGCGGUAAUACGGAGGGUGCAAGCGUUAAUCGGAAUUACUGGGCGUAAAGCGCACGCAGGCGGUCUGUCAAGUCGGAUGUGAAAUCCCCGGGCUCACCCUAGGAACUGCAUUCGAAACUGGCAGGCUUGAGUCUUGUAGAGGGGGGUAGAAUUCCAGGUGUAGCGGUGAAAUGCGUAGAGAUCUGGAGGAAUACCGGUGGCGAAGGCUGCCCCCUGGACAAAGACUGACGCUCAGGUGCGAAAGCGUGGGGAGCAAACAGGAUUAGAAACCCCAGUAGUCCCAUGAU
rnacentral:rRNA from 1 species